AACGAACGCUGGCGGCAGGCUUAACACAUGCAAGUCGAACGCCGUAGCAAUACGGAGUGGCAGACGGGUGAGUAACACGUGGGAACGUACCCUUUGGUCUGGAAUAACCCAGGGAAACUUGGGCUAAUACUGGAUACGCCCUUAUGGGGAAAGGUUUACUGCCGAAGGAUCGGCCCGCGUCCGAUUAGCUAGUUGGUGUUGGUAAUGGCUCACCAAGGCGACGAUCGGUAGCUGGUCUGAGAGGAUGGCCAGCCACAUUGGGACUGAGACACGGCCCAAACUCCUACGGGAGGCAGCAGUGGGGAAUAUUGGACAAUGGGCGCAAGCCUGAUCCAGCCAUGCCGCGUGAGUGAUGACGGCCUUAGGGUUGUAAAGCUCUUUCGCACGCGACGAUAAUGACGGUAGCGUGAGAAGAAGCCCCGGCUAACUUCGUGCCAGCCGCCGCCGUAACAC
rnacentral:rRNA from 1 species